rnacentral:rRNA from 1 species
GAUGAACGCUGGCGGCGUGCCUAAUACAUGCAAGUCGAGCGAACAGACGAGGAGCUUGCUCCUCUGACGUUAGCGGCGGACGGGUAAGUAACACGUGGAUAACCUACCUAUAAGACUGGGAUAACUUCGGGAAACCGGAGCUCAUACCGGAUAAUAUAUUGAACCGCAUGGUUCAAUAGUGAAAGACGGUUUUGCUGUCACUUCUAGAUGGAUCCGCGCCGCAUUAGCUAGUUGGUAAGGUAACGGCUUACCAAGGCAACGAUGAGUAGCCGACCUGCGAGGGUGAGCGGCCACGCUGGAGCUGAGACACGGUCCAGAGUCCUACGGGAGGCAGCAGUAGGGAAUCCUCCGCAAUGGGCGAAAGCCUGACGGAGCAACGCCGCGUGAGUGAUGAAGGACUUCGGAUCGUAAAACUCUGUUAUUAGGGAAGAAAAAAUGUGUAAGUAACUAUGCACGUCUUGACGGUACCUAAUCAGAAAGCCACGGCUAACUACGUG